AUUGAACGCUGGCGGCAGGCUUAACACAUGCAAGUCGAGCGGGGUGAUGGUGCUUGCACUAUCACUUAGCGGCGGACGGGUGAGUAAUGCUUAGGAAUCUGCCUAUUAGUGGGGGACAACAUCUCGAAAGGGAUGCUAAUACCGCAUACGUCCUACGGGAGAAAGCAGGGGAUCACUGGUGACCUUGCGCUAAUAGAUGAGACUAAGUCGGAUUAGCUAGUUGGUGGGGUAAAGGCCUACCAAGGCGCCGAUCUGUAGCGGGUCUGAGAGGAUGAUCCGCCACACUGGGACUGAGACACGGCCCAGACUCCUACGGGAGGCAGCAGUGGGGAAUAUUGGACAAUGGGGGGAACCCUGAUCCAGCCAUGCCGCGUGUGUGAAGAAGGCCUUAUGGUUGUAAAGCACUUUAAGCGAGGAGGAGGCUCUUUUGGUUAAUACCCAAGAUGAGUGGACGUUACUCGCAGAAUAAGCACCGGCUAACUCUGUGCCAGCCGCCGCCGUAA
rnacentral:rRNA from 1 species